rnacentral:tRNA from 2 species
GGGGCUGUAGCUCAGUUGGGAGAGCGUCGCGUUCGCAAUGCGAAGGUCAGGGGUUCGAAUCCCCUCAGCUCCACCA